UACGUAGGGGGCAAGCGUUGUCCGGAAUCAUUGGGCGUAAAGCGCGUGUAGGCGGCUUGGUAAGUCCGCUCUGAAAGCCCGGGGCUCAACCCCGGGAGGCGGGUGGAUACUGUCAAGCUCGAGUCCGGAAGAGGAGAGUGGAAUUCCUGGUGUAGCGGUGAAAUGCGCAGAUAUCAGGAAGAACACCUAUGGCGAAGGCAGCUCUCUGGGACGGUACUGACGCUGAGACGCGAAAGCGUGGGGAGCGAACAGG
rnacentral:rRNA from 1 species